rnacentral:rRNA from 1 species
ACACCUACGGGACGCAGCAGUGGGGGAUAUUGCACAAUGGAGGAAACUCUGAUGCAGCGACGCCGCGUGAGGGAAGACGGUCUUCGGACUGUAAACCUCUGUCUUUGGGGAAGAAAAUGACGGUAUCCUAAGAGGAAGCUCCGGCUAUCUACGUGCCAGCAGCCGCGGUAAUACGUAGGGAGCGAGCGUUGUCCGGAAUUACUGGGUGUAAAGGGAGCGUAGGCGGGCGAGAAAGUUGAAUGUUAAAUCUACCGGCUUAACUGGUAGCUGCGUUCAAAACUUCUUGUCUUGAGUGAAGAAGAGGG